rnacentral:lncRNA from 10 species
CACUUAUUUAACAUUCAUAACCCUAUUUUUAAUCAACUAAAUGGAAACUUAAGAUAAAAUAAUUUUCCAUGUAAAACAGAAGAUAUGCCAGUUUUAUGAAAGUCCAGGUUAUUAUUUUAGGUAGGCUGGAAAAUGAUUAUUUUGUUUCUCUCUCUUCUCUUCUUUACCAUUUUGCCUUUCCUCCACUGUCUUCAUUAUUUUUCCACAGGUUAUCUUGACUGUAUAGACAUUUUGUGUGUUUUCAUAUUCCAUAUUACACUUCCACAGGCUGUACAGGAGGCAUGGCUGGGUGGGGGCGGUGCUCAGGUAGCUUACAAUCAUGAUGGAAAGCAAAGGGGAAGCAAGCAUGUUUCCCGCUUACAGGAGAGAGAGAGAGAGAGAGAGAGA